rnacentral:rRNA from 1 species
UACGUAGGGUGCAAGCGUUAUCCGGAAUUAUUGGGCGUAAAGAGCGUGUAGGCGGCUUGUUAAGUCUUGCGUGAAAUCUCGGGGCUCAACCCCGAGCGGUCGUGAGAAACUGGCAGGCUAGAGUGCGGGAGAGGAGAGUGGAAUUCUCGGUGUAGAGGUGAAAUUCGUAGAUAUCGAGAGGAACACCUGCGGCGAAGGCGGGUUGCUGGGCUGACACUGACGCUGAUGCGCGAAAGCCAGGGGAGCGAACGGG